UGCGUAGGUGGUGGGGUAAGUCGGAUGUGAAAUCUCCGAGCUCAACUCGGAAAUGGCAUUGGAAACUACCCUGCUAGAGGGUCGGAGGGGGGACUGGAAUGCUUGGUGUAGCAGUGAAAUGCGUAGAUAUCAAGCGGAACACCAGUGGCGAAGGCGAGUCCCUGGACGACUCCUGACACUGAGGCACGAAAGCUAGGGAGCAAACA
rnacentral:rRNA from 1 species